UUCGGGAAGUUCCGAGACAGGUGCUGCAUGGCUGUCGUCUAGCUCGUGCCGUGAGGUGUUGGGUUAAGUCCCGCAACGAGCGCAACCCUAUUGCCAGUUGCUACCAGGUAAUGCUGGGCACUCUGGUGAGACUGCCCCGGUUAACGGGGAGGGAAGGUGGGGACGACGUCAAGUCAUCAUGGCCCUUACGCCUAGGGCUACACACGUACUACAAUGGCGCAUACAAAGGGCAGCGAUACCGCGAGGUGGAGCCAAUCCCAAAAAGUGCGUCCCAGUCCGGAUUGCAGUCUGCAACUCGACUGCAUGAAGUUGGAAUCGCUAGUAAUUCGAGAUCAGCAUGCUCGGGUGAAUGCGUUCCCGGGCCUU
rnacentral:rRNA from 1 species